CAGAGAACAAGAGGAAGCAGAUUCCAGAAGCAGCAGCUGAGAUCCACUUCUAGAGGCUGCCCGCAUUCUUUGGCUCAUGGCCCUCUUCCAUCUUCGCAGGAGUAAUAGUGAGUCCUUCUCAGAUCACCUCACUCUGACUCUCCCGCCUCCCUCUUCCAUUUCUAAAAACACUUCUGACGGCAUGAGGCCCACCUGGACAAUGUAGGAUGAUCUCCACAUCUCAAGAGUCUUGCUCUGUCGCCCAGGCUGGAGUGCACUGGCAAUGAUG
rnacentral:lncRNA from 1 species